AGAAUCAACGCUGGCGGCGUGCUAACACAUGCAAGUCGAACGAGAAAGUGGGGCAAUCCAUGAGUAAAGUGGCGACCGGGUGAGUAACACGUGACUAACCUACCCUGGAGUGGGGGAUAACUGAGGGAAACCUUAGCUAAUACCGCAUAACACCUACGGGUCAAAGGAGCAAUUCGCUUUGGGAGGGGGUCGCGGCCGAUUAGUUAGUUGGCGGGGUAAUGGCCCACCAAGACAGUGAUCGGUAUCCGGCCUGAGAGGGCGCACGGACACACUGGAACUGAAACACGGUCCAGACUCCUACGGGAGGCAGCAGUGGGGAAUUUUGCGCAAUGGGGGAAACCCUGACGCAGCAACGCCGCGUGGAGGAUGAAGUCCUUCGGGACGUAAACUCCUUUCGAUCGGGACGAUAAUGACGGUACCGGAAGAAGAAGCCCCGGCUAACUUCGUGCCAGCAGCCGCGGUAAUACGAGGGGGGCGAGCGUUGUUCGGAAUUAUUGGGCGUAAAGGGUGCGUAGGCGGUUUUGUAAGUCUUAUGUGAAAUCUAUGGGCUCAACUCAUAGACUGCAUGAGAAACUGCAGGGCUUGAGUGUGGGAGAGGUGAGUGGAAUUUCCGGUGUAGCGGUGAAAUGCGUAGAUAUCGGAAGGAACACCUGUGGCGAAAGCGGCUCACUGGACCACAACUGACGCUGAUGCACGAAAGCUAGGGGAGCAAACAGGAUUAGAUACCCUGGUAGUCCUAGCCCUAAACGAUGACUGCUUGGUGUGACGGGUACCCAAUCCCGCCGUGCCGUAGCUAACGCGUUAAGCAGUCCGCCUGGGGAGUACGGUCGCAAGGCUGAA
rnacentral:rRNA from 1 species